UCCCACGACUACGCUAUCACUCCUACGGGAGGCAGCAGUGGGGAAUAUUGCACAAUGGGGGAAACCCUGAUGCAGCCAUGCCGCGUGUGUGAAGAAGGCCUUCGGGUUGUAAAGCACUUUCAGUAGGGAGGAAGGUAGUGUAGUUAACACCUGCAUUAUUUGACGUUACCUACAGAAGAAGCACCGGCUAACUCCGUGCCAGCAGCCGCGGUAAUACGGAGGGUGCGAGCGUUAAUCGGAAUUACUGGGCGUAAAGCGCAUGCAGGCGGCCUGUUAAGUCAGAUGUGAAAGCCCGGGGCUUAACCUCGGAAUUGCAUUUUGAAACUGGCAGGCUAGAGUCUUGUAGAGGGGGUAGAAUUUCAGGUGUAGCGGUGAAAUGCGUAGAGAUCUGAAGGAAUACCAGUGGCGAAGGCGGCCCCCCUGGACAGAUACUGACACUCAGAUGCGAAAGCGUGGGGAGCAAACAGGAUUAGAUACCCUGGUAG
rnacentral:rRNA from 1 species